rnacentral:rRNA from 1 species
UACAGAGGGUGCGAGCGUUAAUCGGAAUUACUGGGCGUAAAGGGUGCGUAGGCGGUGAUGUGAGUGUGAUGUGAAAGCCCUGGGCUUAACCUAGGAAGUGCAUUACAAACGACAUGACUGGAGUAUAAGAGAGGGUGGCGGAAUUUCCGGUGUAGAGGUGAAAUGCGUAGAGAUCGGAAGGAACGGCAAUGGCGAAGGCAGCCACCUGGCUUAAUACUGACGCUGAGGCACGAAAGCGUGGGGAUCAAACAGG